UGCCGCUCCGGUGGACCAUAUCCCCACUUCUGAUGGAUUCCGGUCGUCCCCGCGCUCCUCUGGCAGGCCGCCGCUCUUCCGUCUCCGGUAGCUCACUGCCGCUGCCACCGCAUCGACAGGUUUGAUUCACUGAAUACUCCAAUCAACUACAGAUUUGAGGAUCCUCCUACCAAUCAACUGCUCGUGCAAGGAUUCUGAGCGCUGGGCGGCGAGGCGAAGAGCUCAGAGGAAUAAUCCAGAGGGGACGCACCAUUGGCACGGUAAGCAGCAACUUCUUCCUGACUAGUACUACUAUCAAAUCCCAAAAAUGUUUGUCAAAUCUCAUGUGCCAUACACCCUGGUAAUCGUAACUAAUAGCAGCAUUACAUGGUCACGGCAGUAGCAUAGAUGAUCCGGUCGAGCGCGAUACGUGCUAGGCACGGUUGAUCUUUCGUUCCAUGAGCAGGAAAGUAGUUCAUGGCUGGCUUCUCGUGUACAGACUCAGCCAAGUUGCCAGCUGUCGCAACGCGCGAUGCCCUACGUCUCAAAGGCUAACUGAAUUGAAUCUUAUAUGACAAAUAUGAUACACUUUCUAAGCACAACAGUACCUGUUGACUCGCUGGUAACUUUUUUCUCAGACACCCGUUUGCGCCCAAACACGUGUUGUCUGUAUUAAGUGUAUUAGAAGGCAAAAAAAAAGCUAUCAAAAACAAAAGGGAAGCAAAGCAAAAUCGUAGGCUACAAACAGCUUGAGGCAGGGCUCGCGACUACACAGGAAAUUGGGAGAACUUAAAAGUGUUUCUAACUUUCUAAUUGUUCUGUGUUAGUUAUUCCUACUCCUACUAUGCAAUUCAAUUCAUUCUGUCGAUUUCUCUUCAUUUAUUGGAGCUAGGAGCAUUUUGGAACAUGCUAUUAAUUUCAACUAGAAUAAAGGGAAACAAGUCUGCAUUACAGCGGGAAACUGAACAAACUAUAGAAUAGAAUAAGUUCUUUGCUGUAGAACAAGAAGGUUUGUAAUAUUAAAAUAUUUUGCAGGUAAAAUUGACUCAAGAUAAGCAGCUUCGGAUUGUACUAAUUCGAAAAGAUACAGCAUACAGGUCUUUUACUUUCAGAACAUCAUCUGCUCAUAAUCGUACCGGCUGUCUUGCUGGGAUUGUCUCAUUUCACCUUGGACCUGAUACAUCUGAGGCUACAGGUGGAGCUGAAGAGUUCACAUUUCCAGCAAUACCGAAAUUUGGUUCAUUUGUUGCGACAAAGUUAUGAUCUAUGUUGCUCUCUGCAUCCAUGGUACCUUCCAAGACUUUGACUACCUCGGACAUUUUAGGCCUUCCUUUGCAGUCAAUCUGCAAACACCACAUUGCGAGCUUCAUCAUCUGAAUCGCAUCUCGCUCGUGUGCUUGCAUGUCGUUGCUGCUCUUGUCAAUCAAAUCUUCCAACUGAUUGUUCUUCACCUUUUCUUCCAAUAGGGUAAUAAGAUGGAUGUUCUCUUCAGACAAGGAAGUGUCGAGGUUCUUUCUUCCGCUCACGAUUUCCAUGACCACAACGCCAAAGCUAUAGACAUCGGCCUUCUCCGUGAUUUGUGAUGUCAACCAUUCAGGGGCUAGAUAACCAGGUGUGCCUCUCAUUCUUGUAACCACUUGACUCAUAUCCCUAUCAAUGAGCUUGCAUAGACCAAAAUCAGAGAGUUUAGCAUUGAAGUCGUCAUCUAAGAGGAUGUUUUGUGGUUUGACAUCCAAAUGAGCAAUUCUCUUCAUGCACUCCUCAUGAAGAUAAGAAAGACCCUUAGCUAUGUCAGCGAUAAUCUUGCAUCGCACCCUCCAUUCUAACGGAGGAGCAGUAUUUUCAUGUCGACCAUAGAUCCACCUGUCCAAGGAUCCUUUUGGCAUAGACUCAUAAACCAAGAGCCUAUGGGAUUUCUCUGCACAGAAGCCAAACAGCCUCACCAGAUUGAUAUGAUGAAUGCUACCGAUUGUUUGAACCUCCGCCAAGAAUUCUCUCUUUCCCUGACCAGCUCGAUCCAAACGUUUUACCGCAAUCCUUUCCUCGCAUAGCUGCCCUUCGAAAACAGACCCAAAUCCUCCUUCCCCGAGCUUGUCCUUGAAUUGCUCUGUUGCUGCUUCUAACUGUUGAAACGUAAACCUCAUUGGUGUUCCUUGUAGCUGAUCAAACUCUGCCUCCUCAUCUGUCAUCUCAUGGUGUCGUCGUGUUCUUCUUCGACGUAUGAUGAAAAAGAUGAAUGUGACGAUUAAAACUAUGGCACCUGCAAUUGCAACUGAAACAAAAGUGCCUAUUGAGGGUCCUUUGCGUAGUGGCCUAAGAUCAGCUGAGUUAGGAGGACUUGGAGGUGAAGAUAGUGGCCUAAGAUCAGCUGAGUUAGGAGGACUUGGAGGUGAAGACGUUAGAUUGACCGGUGGGCAGAAGAUGACCUGAUAGUCGGUAUCAAAUGGGCAGCUGAAUGAAGUAUCUGUGGAAGCAUCACUGGAGUAGCUUAUUGCCUCCGGGCACAUCCGCACAAAGAAGGCCGAGUAUUUGUUGGGUUCACAUUGGCUCUCAUAGCAGCAGUACAUACCAUUAUUCUGCUCCUGGAACACUGUACAUGCGCUGUUGCAGCCUCCCGGUGCCUUGAGCUCGCUCGGACACUGUGACGUGAUGUUGGCCCCACAGUGGGACCCCUUUCUGCACCCUGAUCCCCCUUGCCCCUUGACCGGCAUUGGCAAGAACUCCAUGGGUACGUUGAAGCCCUGAUCGAGGGAGAUGCCAAAGAAACUGUUGUUGUUAUACUGGUUUAGCGAGAAUUCAGCAGACGUGUAGGGUGACUGACCAUCUAUCUUGCAGGCGAGCAAGCCUUCGCAGUCGCCUGUCUGGCACGACCCCCUGCCUUUGCCGUCAAACGAGCAGCCUGUGCGCGCCCACACACUUCCUCCACGGGUGUCAGAAGGCACCUGGAGGGUCCAUGUCUUCCCUGAGUCCAGCCGCAUGCCGCCGCCCACCGGCAGAGCGGCCGGCCAUACGGUGUAGGGGCAUCGGUUGGUGAUGUUCAGUAUGGUUUGGGUGGUGACGAAUGGCAGGAGGAGGAGGCGGAGCAGGAGGAGGAGGGGAGGUGGGUGGUGGAGGCUCAGGGAGGAGGUACCCAUAACUGCCAACUGUGUCGUCUGGUAAUACGACCCCUCUUGGAUGAGAUGAUAAAGGAGGAAUGGAGAUUUAGAUCCGUGUAUACUUGUAUAAUAUCUGCAUGUUGGAAAUGUUCAACGGUCUACGGUCAGCAGCGUAUGGCCUAACUCACUGUUAGCUGUCCUCCGAUACAAACAGUUUGACAGGCCCCAACUUGAGGGAGAUUGCUGCUUGUGGUAGCUGUUCACUUUUCUUAGCUCCUUUCAACCUCAUGUACAUGUUGAACAUCCUUACCAAGUUACCAUACAUGCAAACUGUUGACAGUACAUAUUUUUGCUUACGACAGUGCAAACAUAUUGCCGACAUAUUUUCUUCUUCUUCUUUUUUGCGAAAGAAAACCUGUAUUACUCAAUGAUAUUUUUUUGCUUCGGGUGUUCAUUUCUUGUCUAAUCUGAUGUAUAUGCUCACGCUGCGACAGCCAGAUCACCUGUAACACUGGACCCUGGAGGGGCGCUGGGGCAGCAACGCGAAGGGUAUCUGUGGGGUCGAGAUCGCUAUGGAACAGGAUCAUUGGGGCCAGUGAGUUGAGCUGGUCAGCGGCAGCUGCGUCGAAGCAGCUUGAGGAUUGGAGGUCAACAAUGGCGGCAAUGAAAAGCAGUGGCCCUGCCUUUUCGUCAAAAAAAAAAAUGGCGGCAACUCUUGGGUGGUGGGCAGAAUGCCUCGCGCAUUAUUUUUGUGGUUGGGAUGUAGGCACUGUCAUAUUCAACCCAUCUAUCUCAAUUACAAGUUGUCAUGUAAUCCAAGCUUUUUGGAAGUGAAAGAUUUGGAGGAAUAGAGGAGCUCAUCAAGGCCACAAAAGAAAGCAUGCUGUAGAUCACCAUUCAGCAGCCCAUUUAGAGGAG
rnacentral:lncRNA from 1 species